rnacentral:rRNA from 1 species
CGGCGCUCUAGUCGUGGAUCCCCCGGGCUGCAGCCCAAUGUGGAAUUCGCCCUUGCCGGCAAAGCGCGGCGGGCGGGGCGGGGGCACGGGGGGCCUACGGGAGGCAGCAGUGGGGAAUAUUGCGCAAUGGGCGCAAGCCUGAUGCAGCGACGCCGCGUGAGGGAUGGAGGCCUUCGGGUUGUAAACCUCUUUUGUUUGGGAGCAA